UGAGAGGGUGAUCGGCCACAUUGGAACUGAGACACGGUCCAGACUCCUACGGGAGGCAGCAGUGGGGAAUAUUGCACAAUGGGCGAAAGCCUGAUGCAGCAACGUGAGUGAUGAAGGCCUUCGGAUUGUAAAGCCCUGUCUUCUGGGACGAUAAUGACGGUACCAAAGGAGGAAGCCACGGCUAACUACGUGCCAGCAGCCGCGGU
rnacentral:rRNA from 1 species